AUCCCUGUAGCGCUAUGGAUAACGCUUUGGAUUUCUAAUCCAAAGGCCGUGGGUUCGAAUUCCACCUGGGAGG